GAAAUGCGAUAAGUAAUGUGAAUUGCAGAAUUCAGUGAAUCAUCGAACCUUUGAACGCAUCUUGCGCUCCUUGGUAUUCCUUGGAGCAUGCCUGUUUGAGUAUCAUGAAAUCUUCAAAGUAAAUCUUUUGUUAACUCAAUUGGUUUCUACUUUGGUAUUGGAGGUCUUUGCAGCUUCACACCUGCUCCUCUUUGUUCAUUAGCUGGAUCUCAGUGUUAUGCUUGGUUCCACUCGGCGUGAUAAGUUAUCUAUCGCUGAGGACACUGUAAAAGGUGGCCAAGGUAAAUGCAGAUGAACCGCUUCUAAUAGUCCAUUGACUUGGACAAUACUUUUAUGAUCUGAUCUCAAAUCAGGUAGGACUACCCGCUGAACUUAAGC
rnacentral:misc_RNA from 1 species